UGCACACACGCACCCACUCGUAAACACACACACAUGCAUGCACGCACCCACUCGUCCACCCACUCAAAUGCACACACACACUCGUAUCCCCCCCACAUACACACACUUACACUCUUUCUGAUGUACUUAUUAGAAAUUACCUUAUUGUUUAAGAAGAUACUGUGAAACUCAUCAAAGAUUGUAGCUUGUUUUGUAAAUUUUUUCUUUGGAGAGUCUGAUAAAUUUAAGUGUAAUGUGUGUAAUGGAAAGGUGUGCCUCAGAAUAAAAUGAUAUUGUUUGUAAUAGAAAUGGUAAUAGAAUACUGUAUAGAGAAACUUCCGAGUAACCGAAUAGAGAAGAGUUUCCUGUGAAGAAGAAACUUAUUUGAUUAUUGAAAUUAUAAUAGGCAUCGAAAUCUAAAAACAAAGUAACUGAAUGUGAAAGCACGUAAAAGAAGGAAAUAGUUGCAUUUCUGUUGGUUUUCAUGGGGAGACUUUUUCUGCACAAGCUAGAGAAGUGAACUAAGAGAUGGUCUCUCCUGUAGGUUCCUGGUAGAGGCAUGCAGCCAGUCUUGGUGGGAGUACCGCAGAUCUCGGCACAACAAUCCAGUGGUGGAGGUGCACGUUGCCCAGCCAACUCUUGCCCCUACUGUGGUCGAGAGUUUAUUAAGACGGGUGAUCUCAAUCGUCACAUCCGUACCCACACUGGGGAGAAACCUUUCCAGUGCCCACACUGCCCAUACCGCUCCAGCAGAAAGUCCACACUUAGGAAUCAUGUCCUUGCCCAUCACAGUUAGGUGGCUGACGAGGCUGCAUGGCGGGCCAGCAGUGUUGGGCGUUUUGGUUCGUCCUGGCCAAAGACAAGUCGUUUUACUUGUUGCUACUGCCAGAUGGAGUUCUACCAUAAGCAUGACUAUCUCAGACACCUCCGAACACACACAGGCGAAAAGCCUUACAGUUGCCCUCAUUGUCCAUACCGAGCCACAAGGAAAACCCAUCUUGAUGCCCAUUUGAAGCGCAGAGACCACAGAUUAGAAGGAUAAAUUUGAUCUACGUGGCAUGAAAGUUGGCCUGUAUCGUACUGUCAGAUUUUAUUAGAAGAUAAAAGAAUAUCUGUUUCUUCCAUAUAUUUUCACAUUUUAUGUCCAUUUCCUACAUCUCAUUUAAUAUGAACAGACGUACUACUAUAGUUUUUUAUGGUUUAUAGGCAUUUUAUAUGAUAUGAAACUUCUAAAAUUCAUAUUGCAGUAUAUUUGGAGGCUGUGUGUUAUCACCAAUAGUUUGGAUAAUGGUUGAUGAAAAACUAUUUGUGAAAAGAUGUGAUAAUGUGAUUUAAAUGGGAAAGGCACGUUUAUAAUGGAUGUUUUAAAAUGGUGACGUUAGACAAAGAAAUAUUUUACAGAAUUUCUGUUGCUCUUAGAAGCAAGACUAUGCACUCUAUUGUAUCAGUGUGUAAAUGUGAUUUCUAAAAGCACAUACCUAUGCAUUACAUGUGUCAUUGUGUAAUUGUGAUUUUCAAUGGUAUAUAUCUUAUUCUUUUAUAGAUAUGUUGAAAGAAAUUUUGAAGUUUUAAAGGUUACUAUUCUGUUGUGCAUAAUAUAAAUAUUGAUGUAAAGGAGAAAAGGAAAUAAUAAAAAAAAGAAAUAUAUAUAUAUAUAUUAUGUCUUAUUUUUACAUUCAUAAAAUCUAUAUUUUCUUGUGUUAUUUUGUUUGAGUUCAUUAGCCAUUACCCUGUUUACCCUGGGUUUAUAUACUGUCCACGUCCCCCCCCCCCAGACAAAUGGCUCCACGGGCUCAGCCACUAAGAAGUCAGUUAGUAGGCCCUAAUGACUUAUGAUUUCCCCAUUGCUUGAAUAUGUGUUUUUCUCUUUAUUAGUAUUAAUGUUGAUACUGUUGUUUUUAUUGAUUUAUAAAUGAAAUGUUAUUGAAAUACUGAUAACAAUAAAGAUAACAACCUUUCCAAAAAUCAAAGAAAAGCAUAAUAGGUGAAAUAGGGAAUUCUAUUGAUUGAGUAACCCCUUGGUGACUAAACACUUGAGGAGCCUUCAAUGUAAGCACAAUUAAUAAACAAAACUUGAAGUGGA